rnacentral:lncRNA from 1 species
GCAAGUUAAGGGACCAUUUGGAUAAUUUCAACUUCCUUUUUUCAUACACAUCUGCAUGGCCUUCCGUCAUGGUUUCAGCAUGAUUAACAUUCAAUUAUGGAUCAGAUCACAUCAUCUCAUGGACCUAGCACACGCCCAAGAAACCAUGCAAAGGAGAAUUUCAAAUUUUGCCAAAAUUGGAAUUGUGUGGAAAUCAAUCUCAUGGACUAUAAAUAAGACCCUUAUUGCU